AUGGCCGGCCGUGUAGCAGCGAGGAACGAAUUAGAACAUGACGGUGUCGCCUUCGACGUCGUUGAGCCACCCGAAUUUGUCCAUGUAGGGGUUGGCCGUGUUGGCCGGCGGGUAGUCGUCGACGCAGUCCGCCCACGCGCCCUUGUCGGCCAUGUCGCCCUUCACCUCCCACAUGCAGCUGUUGCACUUGAACCCGGAGCCGAAGGUCACCAUGAGCACCCUGUCCCCUCUCUGAAGCCUCCCCUUGGCCUCCAUGUACGACAGCACGUACCACAGGCUGCUCGCCGACGUGUUCCCCCACCGGUGCAGCGUCAUCCGUGCCGGCUCCACGUCGCCGUCGUCCAGCCCCAGGCUCCGCUUCACCGCCUGGAUCACCGCCGUGCCGCCCGGGUGCAGGCAGAAGUGGUCCACGCCCGACUUAAAGUUGAUCUUCGGGCCCUCGCUUUUCCCGCCGUGCUUGCGCGAGGAGGAGGAGAGCUUCCUCAGCACGAGGCCGGCGGCGAACCGCGCGAGCUCGGUCACAGGGAGGAUGCGCGGCGCCAGCGUCCGGAGGUUGACGGUGAAGGCCCUGACGGCAGCCUUGGGGAGCGCCUUGCUCAGGCUGAUCCCGACGCGCCCGUCCGCGUCCUCCCGCUGCUGCGCGCACGCGUGCGCGUCGUCGUUGGCGGCGAUGUUGGAGCGCACCAGGCAGGUGAGCUCCAUCUUGGCGCGCCCGCGCAGCGCCGGGUCGUUGCUCAGCAGCACCGCCGACCCGCCGCACCGGAACAGCAUGUUGCCCAGCAUCAUCGACUUGUCGGUGCCGGGGUACCAGUUGGGCGCGAUGGACUCCGUCGACACCACCAGCGCCGUCGCGUUCCGCCGCGUCCGCAGCGCGUUGCGCGCCAGGUCCAGCGAGAUCAGCCCGGCGCUGCAUCCCAUCCCGGACAGAUUGUAGGCGGCCACGUCCUGCCGCAUGCCGUACCGGCGCACGAUCCUGGAGACUAUGGACGGCGCGGGGGAGAACAUGGACACGUUCACGACCAGCACGUCGACGUCCCGGGGCUUGAUCAAGCCGCCGCUCUUGGCGAAGAGCUCGGCGAUGGCGUCGUCGAUGAAGGCGUCCAUCUCGUCCACCGCGUCCUGGUGCGUCGGCGUGUCCUCCCGGCUGUCGAGGAUGUUGCGCGGGGAGUACGUCUCCUCGCCGAUGCCGGAGCCGACGAUGACACGGAGGAGGAAGCGGUACUCGGACAGCCCGAGGCGUGGGUUGCGCUCGAUCAGUGCGCCGGCCAUCUCAGUUGUCACCUUGCGGUCGUCGGACGGCUUGUGGCACACGUAGUCCAGGAGGUAGCAUCGCGACUGCCGGCGCCGGAGGACGGCGGCCCAGGCCAGGUAGGCCACCGCGUGCGCAAAGAGGAGCACGGUGAGCAAGAGCAGCAGCUCCAUGCUGGUUGA
rnacentral:rRNA from 1 species